rnacentral:rRNA from 1 species
UACGUAGGUGGCAAGCGUUGUCCGGAUUUACUGGGCGUAAAGGGUGUGUAGGUGGUUUGGUAAGUUAGAUGUGAAAGCCCAGGGCUUAACCCUGGAAUUGCAUUUAAAACUGCUGAACUUGAAGAUCGAAGAGGUUAGCAGAAUUCCCAGUGUAGAGGUGAAAUUCGUAGAUAUUGGGAAGAACACCGGUGGCGAAGGCGGCUAUCUGGACCGACAUUGACGCUGAGGCGCGAAAGCGUGGGGAGCAAACAGG